rnacentral:lncRNA from 1 species
UACCCGGUGGCCGACGAAGCGCGGAGAUGGGCUUCUUAGCCUCGUUUUGAGGCACAUUCGAAGGCCAUGCCUUCUCAACCCCAAAGAAAUCGAAAGAAAGGUCCCCCCUCUCCCCGGUUCGACUUCGGCGAUUGGAGAAGAGAUCUCCAGCGAUGAGUCUGUGGGAAGAUCAAGGUGAGGUUACCUUUCUCUUUACCUUUUCGUUUAUUUUCGUACAUGAAAAAGAAAAAAGAACUAAAACACAAUAAAAAAAACAAAGAAAUCAAAACCAAGAACUAGAUGAAAGAAACUAUUGUAAAAACCAAAAAUCACCUUAAAAUCUCUUUUAGAUUC